rnacentral:rRNA from 1 species
AGAGUUUGAUCCUGGCUCAGAACGAACGCUGGCGGCAUGCCUAACACAUGCAAGUCGUACGAGAAAGUUUCCUUCGGGAGACGAGUAAAGUGGCGAACGGGUGAGUAACACGUGGGUAAUCUGCCCUCAGGUUGGGGAUAACGGUUCGAAAGAACCGCUAAUACCGGAUGAGACCAAGGCUUCCUUGGAAGCUGCGGCCAAAGGAGGUUCACGCCUCCGCCAGGGGAUGAGCCCGCGGCCCAUUAGCUAGUUGGUAGGGUAAUGGCCUACCAAGGCUACGAUGGGUAGCUGGUCUGAGAGGAUGAUCAGUCACACUGGAACUGAGACACGGUCCAGACUCCUACGGGAGGCAGCAGUGGGGAAUAUUGCGCAAUGGGCGAAAGCCUGACGCAGCAAUGCCGCGUGGGUGAUGAAGGCCUUCGGGUCGUAAAGCCCUGUCAGAGGGGAAGAACCGGUUGAUCAGGAAAUGGGUCAGCCCUGACGGUACCCUCAAAGGAAGCACCGGCUAACUCCGUGCCAGCAGCCGCGGUAAUACGGGGGGUGCUAGCGUUGUUCGGAAUCACUGGGCGUAAAGCGCGUGUAGGCGGAUAAUUAAGUCAGAUGUGAAAGCCCACGGCUCAACCGUGGAACUGCAUUUGAAACUGGUUGUCUAGAGUGCGGGAGAGGGAAGGGGAAUUCCCGGUGUAGAGGUGAAAUUCGUAGAUAUCGGGAGGAAUACCGGUGGCGAAGGCGCCUUCCUGGACCGACACUGACGCUGAGACGCGAAAGCGUGGGUAGCAAACAGGAUUAGAUACCCUGGUAGUCCACGCCGUAAACGAUGAGCACUAGGUGUUGCGGGUAUCGACCCCUGCAGUGCCGAAGCAAACGCAUUAAGUGCUCCGCCUGGGGAGUACGGUCGCAAGAUUAAAACUCAAAGGAAUUGACGGGGGCCCGCACAAGCGGUGGAGUAUGUGGUUUAAUUCGAUGCAACGCGCAGAACCUUACCUGGGUUUGACAUCCUCGGAACCUCCCAGAGACGGGAGGGUGCCCUUCGGGGAGCCGAGAGACAGGUGCUGCAUGGCUGUCGUCAGCUCGUGUCGUGAGAUGUUGGGUUAAGUCCCGCAACGAGCGCAACCCUUGUCCUUAGUUACCAUCAUUCAGUUGGGGACUCUAAGGAGACUGCCGGUGUUAAACCGGAGGAAGGUGGGGAUGACGUCAAGUCCUCAUGGCCCUUACGCCCAGGGCUACACACGUACUACAAUGGCCGGUACAAAGAGUCGCGAGCUC